UGGUACCGCCUCCUGCUGCCAUGUAAGAGAAGAGGGGGCGUAAGCCACGGGUGUCUUCCUGGUGUCGUUUAUAGGGUACAGUCACUUCCGCUAUCCACUUAGAAGUGGCGUGAUCAUGGCGGAGCGUGGUCAUCUUCCUCCCCUCACCAAGCACCUCUGCUGCAGACCCGGCUAUGGCUCAGGGUGCAGGCCAGGCCAGCGGGUGGCCAGCACUGGACUCAGUAGUGGGGCGCUCUGCGUCGGAUCCUCCUCUGCAGCUGCUGCUGCUGCAGCUGCUGCUGCUGCUGCAGCAGCCACAGCAGCAGCAGCCGCUGCCGCCCUGGGGCUGCUGCCUCUCGGCAAAACCCAGAGUCCCGACUCCCUACUGGACAUCGCGGCUCGCAAGGUGGCGGAGAAGUGGCCCUUCCAGCGGGUGGAGGAGCGCUUCGAGAGGAUUCCAGAGCCGGUACAGCGUAGGAUCGUCUACUGGUCCUUCCCCCGCAGCGAGAAGGAGAUCUGCAUGUACUCCUCCUUCAACACCGGUGCCGAGGACCCCGCCAUCACCCCCAGAGUGGCUACCGCCGGCACUGCGCCCGGUGGGGGCGCGGACACCGCCGCCGCCGAGAACCGCCUGCCCUUCCGUAGGGGCAUCGCUCUGCUAGACGGCGGCUUUGUCGAUAACGUCUUGCAAGUCGCUAUGUGCCAAUUAUGAUUUGUGAUGCCCUUGAGAUGCAUUACCAUGCUUUUCUCUGAUGAGGUAGCAAUAUGCAUCCAGUCUUUGUUCCUUUGACCCCACUAUUGAAGACCAGGAUGUCUAGAAAGCUUGUGAUGUAAUAAAAGGUGAGCCACAAAAGCCCAUAAAGGUCAGAAGUUCUGGGAGAGUAAUCAUCAAUUUAUAGAGGCACUGAAAGGUAAAGGAAUAUAAAUCCUGAAGCAUUUCCAGAAAAAAUUCCACUGGGGACCUUGGUGAGAGUCAUCCCAAUAUGAUGCACUGCACUGGAACCAGCAAAGGCUCAAUGGCAGAAUCGUUCCAGGCAAGGGCCUUGGUGUACUCAGUUACUUGGCAGAUUGAUUGGUGUUUGGGCCAGGUAGCAUGGAAGGGAUAGCAUUGCAUGUGACUUUGGUAAGGAAAUUAAUGUUCUGAACCUAGGGAUGAGGGAGUGUGGUGUGAAGGAAUAAGCAGAUCUGCCUGUAUUGCAGUUGCUGCCAUCUGAUGUUGGUUUGAAUUAUGGUGGGAAGGGUACAUUUUCAAUGUGGGCUGGUGGUGGGACUGCCGCUGAGGUAGUUUGAGAUUUAGUUUUCCAUCAGUAGCUGGGUACAAGUAGUGUAAGUUGCCAGGAGCACAUUCAGCACAGGUUGGAGGGACUUUUGGCAGGCUCAUCCUCUACAGAGCUUGGUGACACCACACU